AUUGAACGCUGGCGGCAGGCCUAACACAUGCAAGUCGAACGAGUGGCGGACGGGUGCGUAAUGUCUGGGAAACUGCCUGAUGGAGGGGGAUAACUACUGGAAACGGUAGCUAAUACCUCAUACCAUCAGAUGUGCCCAGAUGGGAUUAGCUAGUUGGUGGGGUAACGGCUCACCAAGGCGACGAUCCCUAGCUGGUCUGAGAGGAUGACCGGCCACACGGGACCUGGACAACGGUCCAGACUCCUACGGAGGGCAGCAGUGGGGAAUAUUGCACAAUGGGGGCAAGCCUGAUGCAGCCAUGCCCCGUGUAUGAAGAAGGCCUGCGGGUUGUAAAGUACUUUCAGCAGGGAGGCGUUACCCGCAGAAGAAGCACCGGCUAACUCCGUGCCAGCAGCCGCGGUAAUAC
rnacentral:rRNA from 1 species